UUAUUAUUCCUUCCGUCUGAAAAUACUUGUCUCAGGAAUGAAUGCAUCUAGAUGUAUUUUAUUUCUAGAUAUAUGAUUCAUUUUUAUGAAUUAAUUUAUGAGAUAAGUAAUUUCGGACGGAGGGAGUAUUGA
rnacentral:pre_miRNA from 1 species